rnacentral:rRNA from 1 species
GAUGAACGCUGGCGGCGUGCCUAACACAUGCAAGUCGAACGGGUGUUACUAGUUGGAGAGCUUCGGUUUGAAGACAGGUAAUUACUAGUGGCGGACGGGUGAGUAACGCGUGGGCAACCUGCCCUUUGCACAGGGAUAACUGUGAGAAAUCACAGCUAAUACCUGAUAAGCUUACAGUAUAGCAUUAUACAGUAAGAAAAGAUUUAUCGGCAAAGGAGGGGCCCGCGUCUGAUUAGCUAGUUGGUGGGGUAAAGGCCUACCAAGGCGACGAUCAGUAGCCGGCCUGAGAGGGUGAACGGCCACAUUGGGACUGAGACACGGCCCAAACUCCUACGGGAGGCAGCAGUGGGGAAUAUUGCACAAUGGGGGAAACCCUGAUGCAGCGACGCCGCGUGAAGGAAGAAGUAUUUCGGUAUGUAAACUUCUAUCAGCAGGGAAGAAAAUGACGGUACCUGACUAAGAAGCCCCGGCUAAUUACGUGCCAGCCGCCGCAGUAAAAC